UACGUAGGGUCCGAGCGUUGUCCGGAAUUAUUGGGCGUAAAGAGCUCGUAGGCGGUUUGUCGCGUCUGCUGUGAAAUCCCGAGGCUCAACCUCGGGUCUGCAGUGGGUACGGGCAGACUGGAGUGCGGUAGGGGGAGAAUGGAAUUCCUGGUGUAGCGGUGGAAUGCGCAGAUAUCAGGAGGAACACCGAUGGCGAAGGCAGGUCACUGGCCGCGAACUGACGCUGAGGAGCGAAAGCAUGGGGAGCGAACAGG
rnacentral:rRNA from 1 species